rnacentral:rRNA from 1 species
AAUUAAAAAUUUAUUUUAUUUAUUGUUUCAUUGUGAGUUAAUUAAAGCUAUAAUAAUUUAAAAUAUGUUUUAUUAAUUAAAUUAAAUUAAUUAUAUUAAAUUAUAGAGGAAAGUAAUGUGAGUGAGUAGGGUAAAAUUAAGAAAAGGAAAUUUAAUUUAUUGUACCUUUUGUUUCAGGGGUUAUUAAAUUAUAUUUUUAAUAGGUAAAAAUUCUCGAAUUUAAAAGAGCUAAUAAAGUAUGAUGGUUAAUGUUAAAUAAUUAUCAUUAAUAAAUUAUUAGGGAAGAAAUUUUAGUCGUUUUUAAAGAUAUCUAGUUUUUUUUAAUUAAAUUUAAUUUAAAUAAAAUAAUUAAAAAUAAUUUAUAUUAAUAUAAUUAUUUUUAUGUUUUAUAAAUAAUUUAUGGGAUAAACUAUAAAUUUUAUUAAAAUAUUUAAAUUUAUAAAGAUUUUAGGAAUAUUUAUGAAAUUUGAAAUUUAUAAAAAAAAUUUAAUAAUUUAUAAGCUUAAUUUAUAAUUAGAGAUUUUAUAAUUAUAAAAAUUUAAUAAAUAAAAGAAAUAUUAAUUAAAAUAAGUUUUAAUUAAUUAAUAAUGAUAACAUUAGUAUAAAAUAUUUUAAAUAAAAAUAAGAAUGAAGAGGUAAAUAUUGAUUUAAGGAACUCGGCAAAUUUACUAAGUUUCAACUGUUUAAUAAAAACAUAGCUUUUUGAUAAUAAUUUAAAGUUGCUUCUGCCCCCUGAGUAUUUUAAAUGGCCGCAGUAUUUUGACUGUGCUAAGGUAGCAUAAUCAAUUGUUUUUUAAAUGAAAACGUGUAUGAAAGAAUGAAUGAGAACUAGGCUGUCUUAGAUUAAAAGUUUAGAAUUUAUUUUUUAAGUAAAAAUUCUUAAAUAUUGAUAUGGGACGAGAAGACCCUAUAGAAUUUGAAAUAAUUUUUUUAAAUUUAUUGUUAAUUAUAAUUUAAGAAUUGUAUUUUUAGUUGGGAGGAUGGUUAAAUUAUAAAAACUUUAAUUAAGAUUUAUUACUUUUAAGUAAUUUAAAGAAUGAUAAGUAUAUUAAGAAAGAAUUAAUUACCUUAGGGAUAACAGCGUAAUAUUUUUGGAAAGAUCUUAUUAAUAAAAAUGAUUGCGACCUCGAUGUUGAAUUAAGAUAAAAAUUAAAUGGAGAAGUUUAAUAUUUAAGUCUGUUCGACUUUUAAAAUCUUACAUGAUUUGAGUUUAGACCGGUGUGAGCCAGGUCGGUUUCUAUCUAUAAUAAGCUUAAAAAUAUUUGUACGAAAGGACUUUAUUUUUAUAAUAAUUAUUUAAAAAUUUUAAUAAAUUAAGAUUAAUAUGAAGGUAAUUACUUUGGCAGAGUAGUGCAUU